GCCACUCCCUGUUCUCGCAACACACACACACUCUCUCUCUCUCUCUCUCUCUCCUCUUCUUUUUACCGAACACUCCCCCUCUAUUCUUUGUAACCACCUUUUGUUCGCCCUCUUUUCUCUUCGCUCCUUUGCCCUGAGCCACAAUGCCUUUCUCUUUUCUGCAGCUCCAUGCAAAGCCCUCUGCAAACCUUAAUCUAGUUCUUCUUUCCGCAACUCUCCAGUGCUCAUCAUCUUCUUAGUCCCUUUUUGUCUCUUACCUCUCUCUUUCCCGCAAUCCGCUGAGAAGAUGAUACCUUAUACUUCAGAGCUCUUUCCUUUAACCAUGAAUCAGAAGAACAAGAUGACGAAGCUUUGAGUGAUCCGAGGGAGGUUAGAUCUGAGGUUGCUCGGAUGUCCAAAAACGAAGCCAAAGGCUAAGUCCUUUUUUCCCUUCUCUGUUUUACUUCUAUUUAGUCUAAGAUUUCUUUGUUUUGAGAUUUUGAUGUGUGUGUGUGAUACCAAUGCUGAGCUUUUUUUUGAUGGUUAGUGUAGAGAUUCGGUGAAUUAUAUUAAUUAAAUAAUAGAAGAAAAAAAGAAAUUGUAAAUUAAAAUUCAACAAGGUCUCGUCGACGAACACGCUUGAUGGGAUCGUUGACGGGGACACGUGUUUCAUCGAUGAGAAGUUAUCGAGGGGGUAUUUUUAGUUUUGAAUUUUGUCGACAACGAAUAAGCGUUCGUCGAUGAACUCCAUUCAUGGCCUCAUCAAUGAGGUGAUGUGUCUCAUCGACUUGUUCGACGUGUGUAGGUGUAUAUAUAGUCUAAACUCAGUUUUCACCGCAGAAUUCAUGCGAAGAACUUCUCUCUCUCUCUCUCUUCUUCGAUUCUUCUUCUUUCUCUCUAAGAUUUUGGGUUCAUUUUUUAUCGGAUCGAUGAUCUGAAAUCGCCACACUAUUCUGGGAUAGUUCUCUUCAAGUCCGCUGGAGUAGAACGUUGGUGGGGUUAACUUGGACUUCAUCUCAAAUUCAGGGGUAUUAAUCGUGAAACUCUGUAGGUGCAAGACUAGUCAUUUUAAGGGCUUUUCAGUAGUCAGAGAACAGGGAUAUGCAAGGUGAUAGAGCUCCGUGAUAGUAAGGAGCUGGAACCUUGAUAUACAGGGUGAGUUUGGACUAGGGUUGUAUUGUUUUUGGGUAUAAGAUAGUAUUGUGUAUGUGUAUAUUGAUACUUUGGGUAUUGUAUUUUGACUAAUAUGUAUAUUGUCUUCCACUGUUAAGUUGUAUAAUAAAAUACUUUUUACUCAAUACCCAAUGCAAGUUGGGUCGUAUGAAUGAUAGUAGGAUUGUU